AUGAACGCUGGCGGCGUGCCUAAUACAUGCAAGUCGAGCGAACAGACGAGGAGCUUGCUCCUCUGAUGUUAGCGGCGGACGGGUGAAUAACACGUGGAUAACCUACCUAUAAGACUGGGAUAACUUCGGGAAACCGGAGCUAAUACCGGAUAACAUGUUGAACCGCAUGGUUCAACAGUGAAAGACGGUCUUGCUGUCACUUAUAGAUGGAUCCGCGCCGCAUUAGCUAGUUGGUAAGGUAACGGCUUACCAAGGCAACGAUGCGUAGCCGACCUGAGAGGGUGAUCGGCCACACUGGAACUGAGACACGGUCCAGACUCCUACGGGAGGCAGCAGUAGGGAAUCUUCCGCAAUGGGCGAAAGCCUGACGGAGCAACGCCGCGUGAGUGAAGAAGGUCUUCGGAUCGUAAAACUCUGUUAUUAGGGAAGAACAAAUGUGUAAGUAACUAUGCACGUCUUGACGGUACCUAAUCAGAAAGCCACGGCUAACUACGU
rnacentral:rRNA from 1 species